rnacentral:rRNA from 1 species
AGUGAACGCUGGCGGUAGGCCUAACACAUGCAAGUCGAACGGCAGCACAGUAAGAGCUUGCUCUUACGGGUGGCGAGUGGCGGACGGGUGAGGAAUACAUCGGAAUCUACUUUUUCGUGGGGGAUAACGUAGGGAAACUUACGCUAAUACCGCAUACGACCUACGGUUGAAAGCAGGGGAUCUUUGGACCUUGCGCGAUUGAAUGAGCCGAUGUCGGAUUAGCUAGUUGGCGGGGUAAAGGCCCACCAAGGCGACGAUCCGUAGCUGGUCUGAGAGGAUGAUCAGCCACACUGGAACUGAGACACGGUCCAGACUCCUACGGGAGGCAGCAGUGGGGAAUAUUGGACAAUGGGCGCAAGCCUGAUCCAGCCAUACCGCGUGGGUGAAGAAGGCCUUCGGGUUGUAAAGCCCUUUUGUUGGGAAAGAAAAGCAGCAGGUUAAUACCCCGCUGUUCUGACGGUACCCAAAGAAUAAGCACCGGCUAACUUCGUG